rnacentral:rRNA from 1 species
AACCUUUACACUGCACGACAGUGCGAUAGGGGGACACCGAGUGCGAGGGCAUAGAGCCCUCGCUUUUGUAGACCGUAAGGAGGUCUACGAAUAAGGGCUGGGCAAGACCGGUGCCAGCCGCCGCGGUAACACCGGCAGCCCAAGUGAUGGCCGAUAUUAUUGGGCCUAAAGCGUCCGUAGCUGGCCACACAAGUCCGUCGGGAAAUCCACUCGCUUAACGAGUGGGCGUCCGGCGGAAACUGUGCGGCUUGGGACCGGAAGAUCCGAGGGGUACGUCUGGGGUAGGAGUGAAAUCCCGUAAUCCUGGACGGACCACCGAUGGCGAAAGCACCUCGGAAGGACGGAUCCGACAGUGAGGGACGAAAGCUAGGGUCUCGAACCGGAUUAGAUACCCGGGUAGUCCUAGCCGUAAACGAUGCUCGCUAGGUGUGGCGCAGGCUACGAGCCUGCGCUGUGCCGUAGGGAAGCCGUGAAGCGAGCCGCCUGGGAAGUACGUCUGCAAGGAUGAAACUUAA